GAUGAACGCUGGCGGCGUGCCUAAUACAUGCAAGUCGAGCGAACAGACGAGGAGCUUGCUCCUCUGACGUUAGCGGCGGACGGGUGAGUAACACGUGGAUAACCUACCUAUAAGACUGGGAUAACUUCGGGAAACCGGAGCUAAUACCGGAUAAUAUAUUGAACCGCAUGGUUCAAUAGUGAAAGACGGUUUUGCUGUCACUUAUAGAUGGAUCCGCGCCGCAUUAGCUAGUUGGAAAGGUAACGGCUUACCAAGGCAACGAUGCGUAGCCGACCUGAGAGGGUGAUCGGCCACACUGGAACUGAGACACGGUCCAGACUCCUACGGGAGGCAGCAGUAGGGAAUCUUCCGCAAUGGGCGAAAGCCUGACGGAGCAACGCCGCGUGAUUGAUGAAGGUCUUCGGAUCGUAAAACUCUGUUAUUAGGGAAGAACAAAUGUGUAAGUAACUAUGCACGUCUUGACGGUACCUAAUCAGAAAGCCACGGCUAACUACGUG
rnacentral:rRNA from 1 species